rnacentral:rRNA from 1 species
UACGUAGGGAGCAAGCGUUGUCCGGAAUCAUUGGGCGUAAAGCGACCGCAGGCGGCCUGACAAGUCGGAUGUGAAAGCCCUGGGCUCAACUCAGGAAUUGCAUUCGAAACUGGCAGGCUCGAGUACGGGAGAGGGGGGUGGAAUUCCUGGUGUAGGGGUGAAAUUCGUUGAUAUCAGGAGGAACACCGGCGGCGAAGGCGGCCCCCUGGCCCGCAACUGACGCUCAUGGUCGAAAGCGUGGGGAGCAAACAGG